AUGCCGUUCGUGUCCCUGUCACCCUCGGAGCGGCAGCUCCCGCCGACCUCCAGGAGGAGGCGGCGCUGGCGGCAGUUCCUGCCGCAGCUCCCGCCGACCUCGAGGAGGAGGUCGCACCUGCUGCAGCUCCUGCGGACCUCCAGGAGGAGGUCGCGCCAUCUGCAGCUCCUGCGGACCUCCAGGAGGAGGUCGCGCCUGUUGCAGCUCCAGCUGCGGCUCCUGCUGACCUCCAGGAGGAGGUCGCGCCUGCCGCAGUUCCUGCCGACCUCCAGGAGAAGGUCGCGCCUGCUGCAGCUCCUGCUGACCUCCAGGAGGCGGUCGCGCCUGUUGCAGCUCCAGCUGCGGCUCCUGCCGACCUCCAGGAGGAGGUCGCGCCUGCCGCAGUUCCUGCCGACCUCCAGGAGGAGGUCGCGCCUGCUGCAGCUCCUGCUGACCUCCAGGAGGCGGUCGCGCCUGUUGCAGCUCCCGCUGCGGUUCCUGUCGAACCCCAGGAGGGGGUCGUUCCUGUCGCAACCCCCGCCGCAGUUCCUGUCGACCUCCAGGAGGGGGUCGUUCCUGUCGCAGCUUCCGCUGCAAUUCCUGCUGACCUCCAGAAGGAGGUUGUUCCUGUCGCAGCUUCCGCUGCAGUUCCUGCUGACCUCCAGGAGGAGGUUGUUCCUGUCGCAGCUUCCGCUGCAGUUCCUGCUGACCUCCAGGGGGAGGCUGUUCCUGUCGCUGCUGCAGCUGCAGUUCCUGUCGACCUCCAGGAGGGGGUCGUUCCUGUCGCAGCUCCAGCUGUGGUUCCUGUCGACCUCCAGGAGGGGGUCGUUCCUGCUCGGUCCCGGCCGCACCAGCAUCGGUUCCUGGUGGCUCGGCUCCGGCCGCAUCUGCAUCGGUUCCUGGCGGCUCGGCUCCGGCCGCAUCUGCAUCGGUUCCUGGCGGCUCGGUUCCGGCCGCAUCUGCUUCGGUUCCUGGUGGUCCAGCGCUGACCGCAUCUGCAUCGGUUCCUGGUGGUCCGGCGCUGACCGCAUCUGCAUCGGUUCCUGGUGGUCCGGCGCUGACCGCAUCUGCAUCGGUUCCUGGUGGUCUGGCGCUGACCACGUCUCCACGUCUGUUCUGCUCCUUGUUGUCGGCAUUCCGCCGGCUGGUACCUCGUCUGCCUGA
rnacentral:lncRNA from 1 species